rnacentral:misc_RNA from 1 species
AACGCACCUUGCGCUCCUUGGUAUUCCUCGGAGCAUGCCUGUUUGAGUAUCAUGAAAUCCUCAAAACAAGUCUUUUGUUAGCUCAAGAGUACUUUUUGUUUUGGACUUGGGGGUCUGCAGAUUAAUUUCCUGCUCCUCUUAAAUGCAUUAGCUGGAUCUCCGGUGAGCUCGGUUCCACUCGGUGUGAUAAGUAUCACUCGCCGAGGACAUCUGGUAAAACAGGUGGCCGACAGUAAUCGGAUCUGAACCGCUUCUAACCGUCCAUUAGUUUGGACAGCAAACCUCAUUCGUGAUCUGAUCUCAAAUCAGGUAGGAUUACCCGCUGAACUUAA